rnacentral:rRNA from 1 species
UACGUAGGGCGCAAGCGUUGUCCGGAAUUAUUGGGCGUAAAGAGCUCGUAGGCGGUUUGUCGCGUCUGCUGUGAAAACCUAAGGCUCAACCUUGGGCUUGCAGUGGGUACGGGCAGACUAGAGUGCGGUAGGGGUGACUGGAAUUCCUGGUGUAGCGGUGGAAUGCGCAGAUAUCAGGAGGAACACCGAGUGGCGAAGGCAGGUCACUGGGCCG